GGUUAUGUAUGUGUGGACUUCCUGUGUCCUUUUAAAUAGGAAUAUUCCAUUUUGUCCUACUGUUAUUGACAAAGGUACGACAUCUGGUAAGCUGCGUCAAAAUGAGGUAGUUUACGGUAAAAACGUCGCCCAUUAUUACUGCCCAUGUGAUUUCACCGAUGUUUGUAAACAUGCGUCAGCCACAUGUGAUUCUGGCUGAUGAGGAAACACCGUCCGGCCAACCAGCGGCCAGGGGAGUGUCGGGGGCGGGUCUGCCGUGUUGCGCUAGAUGGAAAACCAUCGUUAGAGAGGGAUACACAGAGAUAAACGUGCUCCACAGAUUCAUAAUAGCGAGAAAUAACGAGAACCCGGUGUACUGACUGAGGAAGAGGAGGAGGAGGACCGAGGUCUGAGCGGUGCCAGCCGGGAAAUGGAUGAGGAAAAACAUGCUUGGGGAUAAAAACACACCCUGUAACGCACACCUGUCAACGCACAAUAGGACGCUGACACGCCUGAUGGGAUGUCGCUGUUGACAGCGAGGUCGCCGGCCUCUCUCGAACCUUCCCUAAUGACUCUAGUAGUGAAGGAAGGCCUCCUGCUGCUCACCUGCCAGAGGCGCCCGGGAGAUAAAGUGCUUCCUCGCCUCUCUCCGAGCUUCUGGGGUGAAAAUGAGACACGCAGGAGGAACAGACUCCUUCCUUGCCAAGUGGAUUUGUUCGCUCAAUGGGUGACUCAGCAGUGGACCUCAUGAGUUGCUAAACCACUGGCAAGCUGGAGCAAAUGCAAUUCAGCAGAUGCUGUCGGGGCCAAAAGUAGACGCAGCAAACAAGCACUCUCAAAAGGAGGAGAGGCAGUCUGGAUCUACUGAUGGAUGUGUUUACAGCAGAGGGGCGGGGGGCAGCAGCACCUGUAGCCCACGGAAAACUUCAGAGGAAACGGCUGGAGAGGGUGAUAAAGAGUGCAAAUCAACACAUCCAUCUGUGGCCUUCCCAUCUAUUUCCAACCAUCGUGUAGCAGAACAAACAAAAGUGUCAGGCUCAUCUGAACGUGUUAAGGCCCUCACGUCUCCCGAACAUUUCGCAAUUUGUUUGCUCUGAAGAGAAGAUGAUGCAACGUAGAGGGAGAUAUCCAAGCUAUUACAAUGUCCUCGCAGGCAAAAUUAAAAGGAAAUGAAGUCUG